AAGUCGUAACAAGGUUUCCGUAGGUGAACCUGCGGAAGGAUCAUUACCUUUCUGGCUAUUUAAUAGCUUGUCUGGGGGCUGCAGUUUCUGCAGUUCUGACUACAUCCGUGUUUUUUGCGUACAUAUUUUCCUUAGCGGGCUUGCUUGCUAGUUAGCAAACUAAAACUCUUUGCAAUUGCAAUCAGCGUCUAAAUUAUAUAAAAUUACAA
rnacentral:misc_RNA from 1 species